GAUGUACUCCCUCCAUUCGGAAUUACUUGUCGCAGAAAUGGAUGUAUCUAGACGUAUUCUAGUUCUAGAUACAUCCAUUUUCGAGACAAGUAAUUCCGAACGGAGGGAGUAUAAU
rnacentral:pre_miRNA from 1 species